rnacentral:lncRNA from 1 species
ACCCCUAGCCCAGGAAUUUCCAUAUGCCACAAGUGUGGCCCUAAAAAAGCAAAAAUAAAUAAAUAAAUAAAUGAAAAUAAAAAGGAGGCAGGAUAAUGGAUAAUAAACUUUUCUGGAGAAAAAAGUUCCCCAACAUGAACAGUACACUACUAGGUAACAAAAUCAAGAAUUUUUAGCCUGCAAAGUAUGAGACUCCUGAGUAUGUGGCUGGACAAUGGGCUGUACAAUUAAGUCUGGCCUAAAACAAACUAGUCUUACCCUGGGAAUGUGGAUCCCUAACAUAUUCUGGAUUAAGAGUUGUAAACUGUAAUUAUAACAAACCUCCUCCAUACAUAACAACUGUUAAGAGAAACAAUGCGUAGUUCAAAUUUUGUAUAUCUUUCUUUUCUUUUUUUUUUUUCUUUUCUAGGACCGCGCCCACAGCAUAUGGAGGGUCCCAGGUGUAGCCCUCAAAAGAAAAAAAAACUUACUUGGAUCCCUUUUAAAAACAAUGUGACCUACAAGUUUCAAAAACUAUCACAUAUUACUUUCUGCCUUUCAAAAUGCUUCCUUUAGGGACAAAGUAGAUUAGACAUACAGUUUCCCUGAUGUAAUCAUGUUUCAGAUACGUAUACUGUAGCCCCAUGAGGGCUGCACUAGCAUUGUGAUUUCUAGGCCACCAAAUCAGAAGCAUAUAAGGAACCUGAAAAAGAAUUCUAGUAACCCCUGCUCUCCAAUCUUAAUUGAGAAUCUCUGUGUGAGGGACUGGGAAUCCGCAUUAAACAGCCAAGUACAAUUGUGUACUUAGUUCUCAUAUUUUAAGGAGAAAUUUUAAGUUAGCACAUAAACCAUAAAGAAUUUUGGUAUUAAAAUAUAUCUUAAAUUUAUAAUUCAUCAGAUGAAAACUUACUUUGUGAUGGCUUCCUGUAACUUAGUGCCCUCUCUGAUGAAAGUUUUUCCAAAACUGAAAACUUUGUAGGACUGAAAUUCAGGGGUAGUUUCACAAACACCAGAUAUAGUCUGAUUCUUCCCUAAACUUAUGUCAGUAUUAUGGUUUAAUGAAAUCUCAUUUUCUUAAAAUUUAUUAGGCAUUCUUUGGUGAAAUCCAGCUAGUCAACACAUUGUUGUCCAAAGCAGGUUAUCUACAGUACUGGUUUGUUGGCUUUAGCUCUCAGCUAAAGUAUAGAAAUAGGUAUUCAAACAAACCAAUCAAGUACAAAUACACAUAUAACCUAAAUGGACCACAGAGUUUCAACUUUUCUUUCCUUACUGCUUAGUAUGAAAAGAAAAUUAUCAAUGUCCAUAUUAAUUAUUCUGCAAUCCACAGCACAAAUUUGUGGCUACAGCCACAAUGUACACAGUAGCAAUUUAGACUUAAAUUACAUAGCAUGAAAAAUUCAGUUUUGUCACAAAAGCCAUACUUCCAAGGCUCAACAGUAACAUAUGUUAGUAGUGACUACCAUAUUAGACAGCAUAGCUAUAGAACAUUUCCAUCAUCAGAGUUAUACUGGCCAGUGCUAAUCUAGAGCACUACCAAACAUACAAAAGAACUAUUUGAGAGACCAACCUAUCAAACCUUAUAAAGACAUCUACAUGUCACUCACUGCAUUUUAUUUAGGGUUGGCUAGACAUCAAGGACUAUACUAGGUGCUUAGGUACAAGACUCAACAAGAACCUGUGCCCUCAAGAAGCUCCAAAUAGUUAGGAGAAUUUAAGCAAGCAAUGACAACAACCUGAUAAGUGCUAUGAUUCAACCUGCUAUGGGAUCAGGAGAAAGCAAUACUAACUUUUUUAUGGGGGAUUCUGGCUUAAAGGAUGACAGAUCACAGAGGAGAUAUUUCAGUCUUCAUGCUCUUUACUUGAAGGGUAAGGACUAUGGAGGGUAGCAUUCCAGAGGGAACCACCCUACAGAGAUCUGAUAAUGUUACUUUGAUUUCGGUAAAUAGCAAUCAACUCAGUGUGACUUGAGCAGAAAAGUACUUUUUGUAGGCAUGUGUGGAAAAUUGUGCAAAGAAAAAGGUGUUGAGAAAAGAUAAGGUUAGUCCACUGAGGGAACUCCUUUUUCACAUUUGUGAUGAUAGAAUGCAUUGUUUAAGUAGUUAGGAGCCAGUAAUGGAGUUGUGUCAGUUAUUUUCAUGCUUUAUCUUAAUUUUAGGACAACUGUCCCAGCAACACCUAAGAUUUAUCAGAUACUGGAGACAGAGACACUAGUUUGGAAGCUAUUAGCAUUACGGCAACUGAGCUCAGUUACUAACUAAUGAAAAUACAAACAGAUUUAUUGAAAAGUAUUCAAAAGACAUAAAGGGGAGUAUUGCUGAACCUCAGGUCCAAUCGCAGUGGUAGUCAAGAUCAUCUGACUGUGAAUAGGGUCAGGAGUAAAAUCCCAGCUUAAGAAAAAGAAAAAAAUGAAAAUCAAGGUAAAUAUUCACGAACAUCAGUAAAUGAGGAAUAAAUGCACUGUUGGGCCUAUGCUCAAGAUGGGUAGUGUUUAUUGGUGGUGGAACUUAUCUGAUUUCAUGACUUGCUGGCUACCUAAAACAGGUGAGGAGAAAGCCAAUGCUAUGUCUGGGACUGGAUGAGCAAGUACAACAAACAAAAUGGGCUUAAAGUAUGAGUGAGAGUUAUCUGACCGUAAGGAUGCAAGUGAGGGGGCCUAAGGUUUGGAGAUUAAUAUUUAAUCUCAGAUGCUAUACUUUGGUGGUGUAGCAAAAGUCUACAAAUGGGAUGACUGUAAAACUCAGUAGAUCCGUGCUUUUUAACCUAUCUCCCUUCAUCAGGAAAUUGCGACACAAAGAUCUUUAGUAAUAACACGCAGUCUCAAUGCAUAAAAUCAGGCUUAGGUGUUGCCUGGACUCAUUUCCCAUCUCCACCCCACUAUAAUUAUUUUGUGACACAAACUCAAGACGGUGGGAAUAUAGAGAAAUUGGGCUCGUCCUCGUACACCUGCUCAAUCCCCUGCAGGACAACGCCCAAGAAUCAGGUUAAGCCAGGGCAAAAGAAUCCCGCCCAUAAUCGAGAAGGAGCAAACUGACAUGGAGGCGAUGACGAGAUCGCGGGGGAGGGAGGGAUUUUUCUAGGCCCAGGGCGGUCCUUAGGAAAAGGAGGCAGCAGAGAACUCCCAUAAAGGUAUUGCGGCACUCCCCUCCCCCUGCGGAGAAGGGUGCGGCCUUCUCUCCGCCUCCUCCACUGCAGCUCCCUCAGGAUUGCAGCUCGCGCGGGUUUUUGGAGAACAUGCGCCUCCCACCCACAAGCCAGCAGGACCGACCCCCCACUCCUUCCUCCACCCCCCACCCCCACGGGUCCGAGAGCAGGUAGAGCUAGUCUCGUCCUUCAGGCGGCGGACGCCCAGGGCGGAGUCGCAGUCACCACCACCCAGAAGCCUCGGCCCGGCAGCCCGCCCCCGCCUCCUGCGCGCGCUUCCUGCCACGUUGCGCAGGGGCGAGGGGCCAGACACUGCGGCGCUGGCCUCGGGGAGGGCCGUACCAAAGACCGCCUCCCUGCCGACUCGCGUAGUGGUUUCGCUCAUUUGGGACCCAAGCCAAUAACAAGGGGCCGUUCCCAGGACUUCAGCAGCCAAUCAGAUACCAAAGCCGAGCAGGCGGCGGGUAAACCGACUCCCCCGGAGGGGAGGGUGGCAGGACGCCCGCGCGGGAGCCACUUUCACUGACCCUCCCCUCCCCCCGCAGGAGGCCGACAGCGCCCGCCUGUGCAGCUCUCUCCACCCCACCUACCUACCCACCCAGGGGGCAAUGCGAGAGUUCCUGGGAGGCUGCGCACUCCCGAGGCUGUAACUGACAGGAGCUUUACUCCAACCAAAACACGCCAUUUGUGUUUUCACACACGGCGGGAGGAGAAGCGGCCAAUCAGUGACAAGAGAAGAGCAGGAAGCGCUCCUCCCUCUGCGGGAGCAAUGGCUCCGUCCGUAUUCCAGGCUUUUCCGCUCCCUUCUCCCUCCCCCUCCGGUUGCCGCAGGGCGGGCCGCACUCCCGCCUGCCUCUCACCACCUCUUCCCCUUCCAGCGUAACAAACGAUAUGCUCCCGACUUCCCGCUAGGGAAGGCGACCCCCGCUACCGGUCAGACCACCUCAAGCACCCAUCCCCCGCCAAACCGCCGGCCCUCCCCCAAACCAGAGUCCCGCUCCCCUACCUAGCCGAGGCUCUCUGAGGAGCCGGAGCCCCAGAGCACAGCCUCUUCUCU